rnacentral:misc_RNA from 1 species
UCACCUAUCAAGCUUGGCUUGUUGUUGGGCCCUUUGUCACCGGGUGACAGGUCCAAAAGAUAAUGACCGGUGUCAUACCGACGCUAGAUGCAACGAGCUUAUCACAGCACGCAUCUGGCAGUCGUGUGGCCUGGUCUUCACCCCUUUUAUUUCUCAA